AAAGUUUUAUUCUGGCUAAAAAUUUAUUUUAUAAAUACAAUAUAUGUAAAUUUUUGUGGGACUUUCAAAUUUGAUAUUUGUAAGUUUUAAUUAUGCAGUAUUUUUACUUAAAUAUUUAAGGGAUUAAGAUUUAGUAAAUUGUAAUAAUAUUGGCUAAGUUUGUGCCAGCGGCUGCGGUUAUACAGACAAUAUGAAUGAAUUUUUUUAGUUAAUAAUUAAUUGUUUGUUUAUAAUUAGGAAGUGAAUUUUUUAGGUGAAAUUUAAAAUUUACAGAAGUUUUAAUUAGAGGAUGAUUUAUUAAAUUUUAUAUAAAACUAGGAUUAGAUACCCUAUUAUUAGAAAUGUAAAUUUAGAUACUAGGGUAUUAGUAGUUAUGUUCUUGAAAUCAAAAGGAUUUGGCGGUAUUUUAGUCUUUUCAGAGGAACCUGUCCUGUAAUUGAUGAUCCACGAUUGAUAAAAUCUUUUUUAAAGGCUUGUAUAUCGUCGUAGUUUGAAUAUUUUAAUAGAAAGUUAAAUAUUCAUGAUUUUAAAUUAAAAAUUAAAUCAGAUCAAGGUGCAGUGUAUAAAGAGGUAGAGAUGGGUUACAAUAAAUUUAUUUAUACGGAUUAUUACAUGAAAUAUGAAUAUGAAGGAGGAUUUGGAAGUAAUUUUAUUUACUUAUAUAUAAUGAUUUAAGCUCUAGGAUAUGCACAUAUCGCCCGUCGCUCCUGAAGUAAAUUAGGAUAAGUCGUAACAAAGUAGGUGUACUGGAAAGUGUACCUAGAAUGA
rnacentral:ncRNA from 1 species